UGAACGCUGGCGGCAGGCCUAACACAUGCAAGUCGAACGGUAACAGGAAACAGCUUGCUGUUUCGCUGACGAGUGGCGGACGGGUGAGUAAUGUCUGGGAAACUGCCUGAUGGAGGGGGAUAACUACUGGAAACGGUAGCUAAUACCGCAUAACGUCGCAAGACCAAAGAGGGGGACCUUCGGGCCUCUUGCCAUCGGAUGUGCCCAGAUGGGAUUAGCUAGUAGGUGGGGUAACGGCUCACCUAGGCGACGAUCCCUAGCUGGUCUGAGAGGAUGACCAGCCACACUGGAACUGAGACACGGUCCAGACUCCUACGGGAGGCAGCAGUGGGGAAUAUUGCACAAUGGGCGCAAGCCUGAUGCAGCCAUGCCGCGUGUAUGAAGAAGGCCUUCGGGUUGUAAAGUACUUUCAGCGGGGAGGAAGGGAGUAAAGUUAAUACCUUUGCUCAUUGACGUUACCCGCAGAAGAAGCACCGGCUAACUCCGUG
rnacentral:rRNA from 1 species